AACCAUUCUCACCUGCGGCUAGACCUGCGGAAGGAUCAUUAUCGAGUUGCAAAACUCCAACCCUUUGUGAACAUACCUCAGUCGUUGCUUCGGCGGUGGACGGCCUGUUUUUCGGAACGGCCGGAAGCCGCCGGAGGUUCCAAACUCGUAUUUUUUAGUGUAUCUCUGAGCCUGAAAACAAAUAAUCAAAACUUUCAACAAUGGAUCU
rnacentral:misc_RNA from 1 species